UACUAAGUUGUUACUUACUGGAUGGUACAA
rnacentral:piRNA from 1 species